AAGUCACCCCAUCGGGGUGUCCACGACAUCGUUGGGGUUAAGCCACUUAGUCAUGGAGGCAAGUGAAUGCGCAACAAGGGAUCUCUAACCUUCAAACCAUUUGAGGGAGAAUACUCUAUGAUAUGAUUUAGAAUCUCUGGCCAGAGUAUGAAUGAGAUUUGGGAAUGCGUUCCGAAUCAUAUUCAAGGAAAUCAUAUAAGCACACGAAUCACAUUGGAUAGUAGACAUGAAUAAAUAAACUAUCAAACCAAACAAUGUGGUCAAGAGUAUUGUAUUAGAGAAAGACCGUAUUACAUUUGUAAUCCCAAACUGAAUAGGUUUUCUCUACCUCUUCUGAUUAGCUUGGGUAACCAUGAUAUGCUGCAAGGUGUCACUCAUGGUUUGUGGAAGCCCUAAACGUGUAUAAUCACUAAAGGGAGAAUUGAAAGUAAGUUUCAAUUCACAAUCGAUUUGAAAUGGUUUUAAUCGCCCACUGCCUCGCUAAAAGGAACCUAAUGGAUCGCACACCAUAAGAGGUGGAGAUUGGAGAUUAAACGGAGAUGAGUAAGAAUGAUUAAAUGGUUUAAUCAUUUAUUUAUGGCAAGGAUUAAUUAAUAUGUUAAUUAAUCAAACGAAUAAGUUCGUUAAAAGACCUCGGGAUAGUUUUGGACGUUUAGGCCCAAUGGGCUUCGAACGUCAAACCCAUUGACUUAGGUUGUAUGACAACUUAAUGAAUAAAGAUUCACAAGGGCAUAAUAGCCCAAUAAUAUCCCAAUGGCCGGCCAUGAUGUUUAGGGUAGUGAACUUGGACUUAUUUACAAGUUUGCCACUCAAAUGAAUAAAGGUAUAAAUAUGACUUUAUAGCUAAAAUUCAUUAAGGGUUUGUUUUGGAGA
rnacentral:lncRNA from 1 species